UAAGUUUAUGACCAAACUACUAAUGUUUAUGCUAUAAAUGUCUGUCGAAAGAAACAAAGGGUUCUGGAAUAGAGUCGAGUUGGAACUGUCAACUUUUGAAAGACGUUGGUUUGCCGAUGUUAUUGAUAAAAGUGAUAAGGACUAUAAAGAACACUCCAAUAUGGAACAAUUAAUUGAAAAAAUAUUGGAAAUCAACUAUGUCUAGCUGGGCCAUUGAUAGAUGGCUAUUUAAAGGAGAUAGGUAAAGCUCUCCAUAGGAGACUGGCAAAAGGGCAAGCCACGGGUUUAAUGCCAAUUAUUUCUAUGUAUAUUCCAUGGCAGAUCUAUAAAUCUAUUGCUGCAUUGUGUUCAGCAUACGGAGGAAAAAAGGAGAUAGUGAAAUGGAAGAGAAAAUCUGCUAUAAAAAAGUUGGUUAUUACAAUUGAUCAAAAGGCUACUAUAGAAAAAGUUUUUGAUCCAUGGAGAUUGCAAGGGAUUAACUAUUUACUGAAGCGAGUUUAUAAAAAAAAAAAGUGAUGUCAGUAACAAAACAAUACAUGAAUUUACUGGAAAAGCAAUUGUUCCAAUAACAUCAAAAACUCCCUUAAGGUUUGAGUAUUGUUUAAAUAAAAACAUUGUAAGCAUUUUUUAUUAUAUUCAAAGAUAUGAUGCAAAUGGUUUUGCUAUUGAUGGAACAGUUCAAUCUUUAAUGAACUAGUAGUAGAGCAUCUGAGAAAAAUCUUUAACAGUUGGACAUCUUUUAAUUUUAUUUACAAACAAAUAUCAAUCAAGUUUACUUUUUAUUUCAUUAUCUUUACAUUGUUAUAUAAAGUUUGAUAUAUACCUCUAUAUGCUCCAAAAUAAUUAAGGUUAAA
rnacentral:lncRNA from 1 species